ensembl:snoRNA SNORD70B small nucleolar RNA, C/D box 70B
UUCAAUGUUGUCAAUGAUGCAUUCUUUUAAUGGAACUGAAUUUAAGUGAUCUAAAUCAAAUUCGUCACUACCACUGAGACAACAUUGAG